rnacentral:rRNA from 1 species
AUGGGGAUGGUGGAGGAGGAGUCAACUUACUCUUGGGAAUGGUUUCUCACCACUUUAAAGAAUGAUUUAAACAUCAUUAACACCUCCCCUUUCACUAUAAUGAGUGACAAGCAAAAGGGUUUGAUCAAUGCUGUUGAGAAGAUAUGGCCAGAUGCAGAACACAGAUUUUGUGUUAGACAUCUUUAUCAAAACUUCCACCAGAAGUUCAAAGGAGAAACACUGAAGAAUAUGUUGUGGGCCAUUGCUAGGUCAACUAAUGUGGACAAGUGGACCUUGAACAAAGAGAAGCUGAGGGCAGAACUUGGAGGCAUAUAA